UACGAAGGGGGCUAGCGUUGCUCGGAAUCACUGGGCGUAAAGCGCGUGUAGGCGGCAUGGCAAGUCGGGUGUGAAAGCCCUCAGCUUAACUGAGGAAGUGCGCCCGAAACUGCCGUGCUUGAGUGCCGGAGAGGGUGGCGGAAUACCCCAAGUAGAGGUGAAAUUCGUAGAUAUGGGGAGGAACACCGGUGGCGAAGGCGGCCACCUGGACGGUAACUGACGCUGAGACGCGAAAGCGUGGGGAGCAAACAGG
rnacentral:rRNA from 1 species